AUGACGCCAUCAUCAGAAAUCAAGUUCACCAUAUCUACGUGGGAUAGACGAGAGCAAGUGGAAAUACUCCCCACCUUCUAUGCAUGUCUUACCAACUUCGGGCAACCACUUAUCCUUAGAGCAACUCCAACCCGCCGACCCAAACUGUCGCGCGUGUCUGUUUGGAUCGAUACAGACAGAAAAAAUCGGCCAAACGCAACGACCCAAACGGACAAGCGUCCGUUUUUUGUCCGUGCGCGACCCAUUUCAGACCCAAAUUUAGGUCGUGUUUGCGUCAGCGUGGACAAGAAACGGGCGCGCGACGCCCGCCUUUGUCCUCCCCUUGGCCCGCCAGUCGGUGGCGCAUUGGUCAUUCCCUCUUCCUCCCAUCGAUACCUUGCAUACCCGGCCGCCCCACCCACCGCCGCCCAAUUCCGGUGUCCAGGCCAGCCGUCCGCACCCACAUACCUCCCACCGCAGCACUCCACCUCCCAACGGCCACACUCCGGCAUUUGGUAUACUAUUUUUUGCCAUCGCAACAGCCCCCCGACGUCGACGCCACCACUCAUCGGCCCCGCCCCUGUCUGCAAUAGUCAAGAGGGGCAGGGGCGGUAUAGGAGUCAUGUCAAAGCUAGCACUAUCAUAGUCGAGGUCGUGGCUUCACAAGUUCUCUGGAUUUGGCACUCUUUCUUCGGCAUGGCCGGAUCUCACAACGAUAUCAACGUGCUUCAGCACUCUCUGGUGUUUGCUAGGCUUGCAGAAAGCAACUUCCCGAAGGUCAAUAUUGAGAUCAAUGGCCACCACUACAACAAAGGAUACUACCUAGCUGAUGGUACCUAUCCUUAG
rnacentral:rRNA from 1 species